AGACGAAUUAAACUUUCAAAUUAAUAUAUCGACUCUUUGCAUCUGGAUCUUGCGUUGUUUCUCGGCUCUCACAUCAAGGUUUUAAAUUUUUUGUCGGCUUUUCACAUCUCCCUCUUGCAUUGUUGAGAGGAGAAGAUACAAGAAAGUCAUAAGCGAACGGAUGUAUUGGUAAAACAGGAAGAGAUACAAGAGACUCCCCGCAUUUUGUUUUUAUUGUUUUGUCCGGCUACU